GAUGAACGCUGGCGGCGUGCCUAAUACAUGCAAGUCGAACGAAUCUCUUUUAGAGAUGAGUGGCGAACGGGUGAGUAAUACAUAGGUAACCUGCCCCUGUGCGGGGGAUAACAGGAGGAAACUCCUGCUAAUACCGCAUAGCCAUGAGCACCGCAUGGAGCUCAUGCCAAAUAUCCUUUCGGGGAUAGCGCAGGGAUGGACCUAUGGCGCAUUAGCUUGUUGGCGGGGCAACGGCCCACCAAGGCAACGAUGCGUAGCCGGCCUGAGAGGGCGGACGGCCACAUUGGGACUGAGACACGGCCCAGACUCCUACGGGAGGCAGCAGUAGGGAAUUUUCGGCAAUGGGGGAAACCCUGACCGAGCAACGCCGCGUGAGCGAAGAAGGCCUUCGGGUCGUAAAGCUCUGUUGUAAAGGAAGAACGGCGCAUACAGGAAAUGGUAUGCGAG
rnacentral:rRNA from 1 species